AUACGGAGGGUCCAAGCGUUAUCCGGAAUCAUUGGGUUUAAAGGGUCCGCAGGCGGUCAAUUAAGUCAGAGGUGAAAGCCCAUCGCUCAACGAUGGAACUGCCUUUGAUACUGGUUGACUUGAGUUAUACGGAAGUAGAUAGAAUAAGUAGUGUAGCGGUGAAAUGAAUAGAUAUUACUUAGAAUACCGAUUGCGAAGGCAGUCUACUACGUAUAUACUGACGCUGAGGGACGAAAGCGUGGGGAGCGAACAGGAUUAGAUACCCUAGUAGUCC
rnacentral:rRNA from 1 species